AUUGAACGCUGGCGGCAUGCCUUACACAUGCAAGUCGAACGGUAACGGGCCUUCGGGUGCCGACGAGUGGCGAACGGGUGAGUAAUACAUCGGAACGUGCCCGAUCGUGGGGGUUAACGAGGCGAAAGCUUUGCUAAUACCGCAUACGAUCUACGGAUGAAAGCAGGGGACCGCAAGGCCUUGCGCGGACGGAGCGGCCGAUGGCAGAUUAGGUAGUUGGUGGGAUAAAAGCUUACCAAGCCUACGAUCUGUAGCUGGUCUGAGAGGAUGAUCAGCCACACUGGGACUGAGACACGGCCCAGACUCCUACGGGAGGCAGCAGUGGGGAAUUUUGGACAAUGGGCGCAAGCCUGAUCCAGCCAUGCCGCGUGCAGGAUGAAGGCCUUCGGGUUGUAAACUGCUUUUGUACGGAACGAAAAGCCUUCUUUUAAUACAGGAGGGUCAUGACGGUACCGGAAGAAUAAGCACCGGCUAACUACGUG
rnacentral:rRNA from 1 species